rnacentral:rRNA from 1 species
AGUGAACGCUGGCGGUAGGCCUAACACACGCAAGUCGAACGGCAGCACAGUAAGAGCUUGCUCUUACAGGUGGCGAGUGGCGGACGGGUGAGGAAUACAUCGGAAUCUACUUUUUCGUGGGGGAUAACGUAGGGAAACUUACGCUAAUACCGCAUACGACCUACGGGUGAAAGCAGGGGAUCUUCGGACCUUGCGCGAUUGAAUGAGCCGAUGUCGGAUUAGCUAGUUGGCGGGGUAAAGGCCCACCAAGGCGACGAUCCGUAGCUGGUCUGAGAGGAUGAUCAGCCACACUGGAACUGAGACACGGUCCAGACUCCUACGGGAGGCAGCAGUGGGGAAUAUUGGACAAUGGGCGCAAGCCUGAUCCAGCCAUACCGCGUGGGUGAAGAAGGCCUUCGGGUUGUAAAGCCCUUUUGUUGGGAAAGAAAAGCAGCAGGUUAAUACCCCGCUGUUCUGACGGUACCCAAAGAAUAAGCACCGGCUAACUUCGUG